GUGGGGAAUCUUCCGCAAUGGACGAAAGUCUGACGGAGCAACGCCGCGUGAGUGAAGAAGGUUUUCGGAUCGUAAAGCUCUUUCGUUAGGGACGAACGUGCUCUUUGUGAAUAAUGAGGAGUAAUGACGGUACCUAAAUAAGAAGCAACGGCUAACUACGUGCCAGCAGCCGCGGUAAUACGUAGGUGGCAAGCGUUGUCCGGAAUUAUUGGGCGUAAAGCGCGCGCAGGCGGGAUAUCAAGUCUGUCUUAAAAGUGCGAGGCUCAACCUCGUGAGGGGACAGAAACUGGUAUUCUUGAGUGUCGUAGAGGAAAGUGGAAUUCCAAGUGUAGCGGUGAAAUGCGUAGAGAUUUGGAAGAACACCAGUGGCGAAGGCGACUUUCUGGACGAUGUCUGACGCUGAGGCGCGAAAGCUAGGGGAGCGAACGGGAUUAGAAACCCGGGUAGUCC
rnacentral:rRNA from 1 species